GACGAACGCUGGCGGCGUGCUUAACACAUGCGAGUCGAACGGAAAGGCCCUGCUUUUGUGGGGUGCUCGAGUGGCGAACGGGUGAGUAACACGUGAGUAACCUGCCCUUGACUUUGGGAUAACUUCAGGAAACUGGGGCUAAUAUCGGAUAGGAGCUCCUGCUGCAUGGUGGGGGUUGGAAAGUUUCGGCCGUUGGGGAUGGACUCGCGGCUUAUCAGCUUGUUGGUGGGGUAGUGUCUUACCAAGGCUUUGACGGGUAGCCGGCCUGAGAGGUUGACCGGCCACAUUGGGACUGAGAUACGGCCCAGACUCCUACGGGAGGCAGCAGUGGGGAAUAUUGCACAAUGGGCGGAAGCCUGAUGCAGCAACGCCGCGUGCGGGAUAACGGCCUUCGGGUUGUAAACCGCUUUCGCCUGUGACGAAGCGUGAGUGACGGUAAUGGGUAAAGAAGCACCGGCUAACUACGUG
rnacentral:rRNA from 1 species